rnacentral:tRNA from 1 species
GGCCCAUGGCGUAGUGCUUUGAGUAUUGGACUACGACUCUGAAGACCAGAGUUCAAAUCCCUGCUUGGCCA